UACGUAGGGUGCAAGCGUUGUCCGGAAUUAUUGGGCGUAAAGAGCUCGUAGGCGGUUUGUCGCGUCUGCUGUGAAAACCCGAGGCUCAACCUCGGGCCUGCAGUGGGUACGGGCAGACUAGAGUGCGGUAGGGGAGACUGGAAUUCCUGGUGUAGCGGUGGAAUGCGCAGAUAUCGGGGAAGAACACCCGUGGCGAAGGCGGCUCUCUGGGACGGUACUGGACGCUGAGACGGCGAAAAGCGUGGGGAGCGAACAGG
rnacentral:rRNA from 1 species